AGAGUUUGAUCAUGGCUCAGAGCGAACGCUGGCGGCAGGCCUAACACAUGCAAGUCGAACGCCCCUUCGGGGGAGUGGCGGACGGGUGAGUAACGCGUGGGAAUGUGCCCUUUGGUACGGAACAACUGAGGGAAACUUCAGCUAAUACCGUAUGUGCCCUACGGGGGAAAGAUUUAUCGCCAUUGGAGCAGCCCGCGUUGGAUUAGGUAGUUGGUGGGGUAAAGGCCUACCAAGCCUACGAUCCAUAGCUGGUCUGAGAGGAUGAUCAGCCACACUGGGACUGAGACACGGCCCAGACUCCUACGGGAGGCAGCAGUGGGGAAUCUUGCGCAAUGGGCGAAAGCCUGACGCAGCCAUGCCGCGUGUAUGAUGAAGGUCUUAGGAUUGUAAAAUACUUUCACCGGGGAAGAUAAUGACGGUACCCGGAGAAGAAGCCCCGGCUAACUUCGUGCCAGCAGCCGCGGUAAUACGAAGGGGGCUAGCGUUGCUCGGAAUUACUGGGCGUAAAGGGCGCGUAGGCGGACAGUUUAGUCAGAGGUGAAAGCCCAGGGCUCAACCUUGGAAUUGCCUUUGAUACUGGCUGUCUUGAGUUCGGGAGAGGUGAGUGGAAUGCCGAGUGUAGAGGUGAAAUUCGUAGAUAUUCGGCGGAACACCAGUGGCGAAGGCGACUCACUGGCCCGAUACUGACGCUGAGGCGCGAAAGCGUGGGGAGCAAACAGGAUUAGAUACCCUCGUAGUCC
rnacentral:rRNA from 1 species